CAAAAAGUCAGCGAUUAUAGAAUUCGAUUCGUACCUCGAUUAACUAAACAUACAGUUCGAAGUAAGGUACGAAUCGAAUUCUAUAAUCGCUGACUUUUUGUUGCUCAAAA